rnacentral:rRNA from 1 species
ACAAAAACAUGUCUUUUUGGGUAAAAUUUAAAGUCGGGCCUGCCCACUGACGAUUAGUUGAAGGGCCGCGGUAUUUUGACCGUGCAAAGGUAGCAUAAUCAUUAGUCUUUUAAUUGAGGGCUAGAAUGAAUGGUUUGACGAAAUAUUAACUGUCUCUUUGUAAUUAAUAAAAUUUAACUUUUGAGUCAAAAGGCUUAAAUGAAUAUAAAAGACGAGAAGACCCUAUAGAUCUUUAUAUAAUGAAAUGGUUGUUUUAUUCAGAAGUAUUGUUUACAAUUAUUUUGUUGUAUUUUGUUGGGGUGACAUGAAGAUAAAAAUAACUCUUUAUAAUAGGAACAUUGAUUUAUGAAUAAUUGAUCCGUUAUUAACGAUUAUAAGAUAAAGUUACCUUAGGGAUAACAGCGUAAUUUUUUUUGAGAGUUCUUAUCGACAAAAAAGAUUGCGACCUCGAUGUUGGAUUAAGGAAUAUGAUUAGGUGUAGCAGUUUAAUUAAUAAGUCUGUUCGACUUUUAAAUCCUUACGUCAUCUGAGUUCAGACCCGGAA